UGAUUAUGCAACGUGGCGUGAGGGGUGAUUUUUGUGCGCUUGUGUUCGAUGUGGUCGACUAGGUUGAUAGAUAUGUGAAUACGAGGAUCUGCAUAAAAUAUACGUGAUAUAUGCGUUCGGCAAGUCGUAAAAAUACCGGGAUUCCCUGGAUAUUCUUUUAAUAUAGCCACAGUAUCUAAUUUAUUCCCUUUAUAAAAGACAGGUAUGACAGUGUACAACUAUUCAGUUGCUUCUGGUUUGUAUAGGUCGAUAACGGCGCCGGCUCGUUUUUACGGUCGGGUUAAGGAAAGAAGGAAAAAAAAUGCUAUAAUCGUUGCCAGAGACCUAGAAACAAGUGACCUCUGCAUCUCUAACAAUUGAGACGAAAAGGAAGGUACUUUGUCACCAUGAUGAGUGACAGAUUUUUAUACCGUUACCCUUUCCUCUAAGCUUAAACUCUACAGCUCUCCUUAACCGAGCCUUGUUAGUUGCUUCAUAAUUCCCUGGAGAGAUGUGCGUCCAU